rnacentral:rRNA from 1 species
AGUGAACGCUGGCGGUAGGCCUAACACAUGCAAGUCGAACGGCAGCACAGUAAGAGCUUGCUCUUACGGGUGGCGAGUGGCGGACGGGUGAGGAAUACAUCGGAAUCUACUUUUUCGUGGGGGAUAACGUAGGGAAACUUACGCUAAUACCGCAUACGACCUACGGGCGAAAGCAGGGGAUCUUCGGACCUUGCGCGAUUGAAUGAGCCGAUGUCGGAUUAGCUAGUUGGCGGGGUAAAGGUCCACCAAGGCGACGAUCCGUAGCUGGUCUGAGAGGAUGAUCAGCCACACUGGAACUGAGACACGGUCCAGACUCCUACGGGAGGCAGCAGUGGGGAAUAUUGGACAAUGGGCGCAAGCCUGAUCCAGCCAUACCGCGUGGGUGAAGAAGGCCUUCGGGUUGUAAAGCCCUUUUGUUGGGAAAGAAAAGCAGCAGGUUAAUACCCCGCUGUUCUGACGGUACCCAAAGAAUAAGCACCGGCUAACUUCGUG